GUCACAUCAUAUGAAAGUCAGGUUGUCCAACUUCUCUUGGAAAAUGGGAUAUCCUGGGCCUGAGACUCCUUCACAGAAGGAGUUGAGCAGUGCCUGCCUCUUCUGGUAGGAUAUAAGGUCCCUCGUUGGACACUCGUCAGUCCACUCCCUAAUACCAAACCUGGCUGACAUCACUCGCUGACUUUCAUGGCUUCUGACCCCUACCCAGAGAGAGAAGAAAACCAGCUGGAGUAGAGCUGGAGGAGCUCAGGGGGAAGACAGAGAGGAUGAGGAUCAACAAACAGAAACCAGGACAGGAACCAUUCCAAGGAUGAGGUGGGGAUGGGAGUGCUAAAGGAAUAGUAAUUUUGGGAGGAGAGACUUAUAUCCCCUCAAUGACUACACCUCUCCAAAGAAGCAGAGACAGGGAGUUAAGGAAACAUGCCACACCCGUUGCAGGCCUGAAAUUGGUCCUGUAACACACUGGUAAGGGUGUGCAGAGUAGGAGGCUUGACGGCCUUGCAGUCCUAGGCCCAGCACGGGAUUCUCCCAAACAUCCAGCUCCCGCUGCUGUGAAUGGUGACAGCAUAAUGCUUUUACAGAGAAGUUGCUCCAUUUGCUUAUGUCCCUAAUGGAACCCAACUGCCAAAAAAGUUAACAACAACGGUGUUUAGAGCAAUCACUUUGGUCCACGUUGAAGGGUCACACUUAAAACUUGCCUCACCUCAACUAACCUUCUGCCUGACUGUGGUCCAAAUGAGAAAGUCAGCCAAAAAGGAAAAUAAUGUGACUUCGUGGAAGAUUCUGAACACAUUUACCAAAGGAAGUAGAACAUUUACUGGGGCCAACAAAAGCACUUUAUAAGCUGCAGAGUGUGAGUGAGGGCCCGGGGCAGAAAGUCUGAUUCCACCCGAAAUGCAGGCCUCACCCUGGAGAGUAGGAGACGGGUCAAGGACUCCCAGAGUCACUUUGUAUUCUCCUUCCUUCUGCGGCCCUCCUGGAAGUGGAGCUGAACUAGAGGGUACAGAAGGACUCAAAGGCACACCUGGCCCUGAGAAUGAGAUGCCAGCUCCACAAUUCUUCCCACGUUGCGGAGGAGGAGCAGGGAGAUACCAAUGCAGGCACAGGGGAGCAACGGAGCCACUUGUCAAGCUGCUGUCAGGUACAGGACUGAUCACUUCUUGUGAGGCUUUGCUAUACCUGAGAAGGCUUUGGUUUUGAGUUGUCAAAAGUUCCAGACGACAGAAUUUAAACUAACCCUGUGUAAUUGUAAUUCUUGAAAUAACAGGAUCCAAAUAUACUUUGAAACUCCUUAAAAUGUAAGCCAUGACUAACGUAUUUUUUUUCUUCUUUCAAACUCUGUGUGAGACCAUCAGAAGAGGCCUAGUUAUAUAGAGAAAUUAGUCUAAUAACAUUUUCCUCCAGGAACCAGAGAACCCUGCAUUUUCUACCUAAUGGCUGGGAUUUGGCUGACGGGUAAACAAAACGACCUUCUUCUUUCAUUCAAUUUCAGAACUUCAACAAAAGGCAGACCAAGUCAGCCGCUGACGCUGCCAAGCCAGAAGGAAAGGAAACGAAGCCACAGGACAUUCCCGUCAAUAUUCCAGGGAGACAGUCCUAAAGGGGAAGAAGGCUUUUUAUGGUUCUAAAGAGUCCUGGGGAGGGAGGCAAAGAAAGUGCACAGGACACAAAACAGAGUAUGGUUCAACUGCCAAGAUGGCCAACCUCACCAUGGGCACCCAGCCUGAAGGCCACCCAGGGCUAACAAAUGCUGGCCCAAUGUGUGUGUGUAUGGCAGUUGUGUCUUGUACAACUGCUACAGGUAGAGUCUGACCCACUUGCGAAGCUCAGUCACCAACCUUGUUCUUUCAUUUCCCUUCAUACUAGCUAAGGUGGGGAGGCACAGAUCUGAGCCAGUAGCACCCUCCAGCUCAGAGCGGCGAUGACACAGGGAGAAGGCUGGGCAUGUGACUUGGCAGGUGAGGCAACAUGGGAGGAGAGGGGGAGUAGAGCCUUGACCCCUUGUUAAUAACUCACUUUCCCACAGAAGGAAGAGGCAGAUAUGUAUCUGAGUGAGGCUGAACACAGUCCACUGGAGCGGGAUGGGGCUGGCAGGAAGGGGAGGACAUGCAAUGGAUUUCCUAAGUAGCUCUGGGAAAGCUAAGUGCAAUCUUCCCGAGUUCAGGCUCUGAAACAGAAUGGUGCUGCUGUGGCGCACAGGACGCGCCAGGAGGGAGAAGAACUGCUCCAGUGUGCUCAGAUCAGAUCUGGAUGGAAUUCAUAGCACACUGCACGGCUACAGCAAUGGACGACCCUGUCAGGUGUCUAGACUGGUUUGGGAAGUGGCAGCUGCACGAGUGAGGAAGGUGGAGAAAAGAUGGGAGCAGUUUUUGUAAAUGUUACACCUUAAUAGGUGGGAGCCAGAUUAAAUACCCUAGUAUUGCACCUGGUAUUAGUUUAAGUGUUUCAAAUGCAUUCUAUAUAACCCUUAGGGAAACUAUGAUUGUUAAUCCCAUUUUACAGAUUAGGAAACUGUGAAUAGACCCAUUCACAACCUGCCCAGGCCACAUGGUUUGGGAGUGGUGGAGCUGGAAUCGGAGUCCAGGUCUGCCUGACACUAGAAGCCUUUGCUCUCCACCAGUAUGUCUCAAUUCUUCCUGAGGUGACCAAUCUUAUCAUUUGGAUUCUGGCUUAAAGAGCAGAGAAAGAGACUUAGGUUGAGAGGAAUCCUGGCAGACACUGAGGACUUCCCCUGAGGAUCCAUAGCACUUGGUGGGUUUCCUUAGCUAGCACUUCCUGGGGAACCAGUCUCCUGGCCCAUGUGACAUUCUUUCCCCCUUGGUUUUGUGGACUGCAUAAGAGACCAAAUGGGCACUAAAAGAAGGAGGAGAAAAAUAAUAGUCUUGGGGAGAACCUGAGGAAUCUUUCAGUCUGACCACCUGACUUCAACACCCAGGGUCUCUCUGUUGCAGAAGAAAGGGCACUGUUAAUAUUUUCAAGUGCCUGAAGAGCUGUUGGCCAGAAAAGGGACUGGGCAGCUUUAUAUCAGAGACGUUAAGUUCAGGGCAUAGAAGUUAAAGGAGGCAUAUGUAAAUAUGCCACAAAGAAAAUAAAAGCAAGUUUUAAAAAAACACUCAAGGCCAUUAAGUGAUGCAAAGAGCUUUCCUAGGAGGAACGUGACUUUUAUUGGAAAGAUUUACAGGAGAACCUGACUGGCCCUCAGGUGUCAGGUAGGUGCCCUUGAUGGUCUAUGCCGAUAUCAAGAUUCUAGGAUCUUAUCCUGUUUCCUCAGUCUGCCUCUGUCCUUCAUUAAAACUCUGGGAGAAAAGAGCUGACAUUUUGAAGAUGACUGUACCUCCUUGAGCCACAGACACCUUAUGUUCUUUGGGUGUGAAGUAGAUUUUUCUUUAUAAAAAAAUAAAAUAAAACUUGUUCAA